rnacentral:rRNA from 1 species
CUACGGGGCGCAGCAGUAGGGAAUUUUCGGCAAUGGGCGAAAGCCUGACCGAGCAAUGCCGCGUGAACGAUGAAGGCCUUCGGGUUGUAAAGUUCUGUUGUUAAGGAAGAACAUGUAGAUCAGGAAAUGGGUCUGCACUGACGGUACUUAACCAGAAAGCUCCGGCUAACUACGUGCCAGCAGCCGCGGUAAUACGUAGGGAGCGAGCGUUAUCCGGAAUUAUUGGGCGUAAAGCGUGCGUAGGCGGUUUUUUAAGUCAAAUGUGAAAGUCCACAGCUCAACUGUGGAAGGUCAUUUGAACUGGAUUACGUGAGUACGGCAGAGGUUAGUGGAAUUCAAUGUGUAGCGGUGGAAUGCGUAGAUAUAUUGAGGAACACCAGUGGUGAAGGCGGCUAACUGGACCGGAACUGACGCUGAGGCACGAAAGCGUGGGGAGCAAACAGGAUUAGAUACCCCCGUAGUC